GACAGAGGGUGCAAACGUUGUUCGGAAUUACUGGGCGUAAAGCGCGUGUAGGCGGCCCUGCAAGUCGGGUGUGAAAUCCCACGGCUCAACCGUGGAAGUGCAUUCGAAACUGCAGGGCUAGAGUCCUGGAGAGGAAGGUGGAAUGCUUGGUGUAGAGGUGAAAUUCGUAGAUAUCAAGCGGAACACCGGUGGCGAAGGCGGCCUUCUGGACAGUGACUGACGCUGAGACGCGAAAGCGUGGGGAGCAAACAGG
rnacentral:rRNA from 1 species